CCUACGGGGGGCAGCAGCGGGGAAUAUUGCACAAUGGGCGCAAGCCUGAUGCAGCCAUGCCGCGUGUGUGAAGAAGGCCUUCGGGUUGUAAAGCACUUUCAGCGGGGAGGAAGGCGGUGAGGUUAAUAACCUCAUCGAUUGACGUUACCCGCAGAAGAAGCACCGGCUAACUCCGUGCCAGCAGCCGCGGUAAUACGGAGGGUGCAAGCGUUAAUCGGAAUUACUGGGCGUAAAGCGCACGCAGGCGGUCUGUCAAGUCGGAUGUGAAAUCCCCGGGCUCAACCUGGGAACUGCAUUCGAAACUGGCAGGCUAGAGUCUUGUAGAGGGGGGUAGAAUUCCAGGUGUAGCGGUGAAAUGCGUAGAGAUCUGGAGGAAUACCGGUGGCGAAGGCGGCCCCCUGGACAAAGACUGACGCUCAGGUGCGAAAGCGUGGGGAGCAAACAGGAUUAGAUACCCCAGUAGUC
rnacentral:rRNA from 1 species